CCGCACUGGAGCGGCUUCUCCCGCUGCCGUCUUCGCGCAGGGUUGAGUUUGUGCAUCGAUUGUGAACACAACAGGCAGCAGGCUAUAAUGGUGGUCCUGGCUGGAGUAGUUUUCACAGACUUCAGUAAUCUGUGGAGAUGAACGGGCAGUUCUCUGUAGUUUUCACAGAUCACUGCCAGUUCGUUUUGAGGCCUUCAGGAGUGAAGACCUGGCUCAUCAUCACUCUUUGUUGUUUUGUUAAAUUUAUUUACACCCUACUUUAUUCCAGAGGAAAGGAUUUAACGUAGUUUACAUAAAUGUGUACAUCAGGGUAAAUUAAAAAUAAGUACAGAGAAAAAUAGGACAAAAGAAAACCGUGAGUGUGAAAGAUAAGAUUAAGCCAGCAGUUUUGUAUGCAAAAUGCAUGGUGUAAGGUCCUAUUGGUUUGCUGGAGGUAGGCCACACAUAUGACUCUCAGUUUUCUAGCAACCAAGAAAAAGAUCAGUUGCAAUCGGAGUAGGUGUUUUGGCUAAGCUGGAACUAGGACUUGAAUAUAGCAGCUUGUAGAGUUAUACCACUUGCCCAAAUCUCUUCCAUGAGCCUCUUUAAGUGUAACAGAAUGCCUGGGAGCACGUAAAUGCUCCUACUUAGAUGCCUACUUAGCCUCUAAUUUUCAUGGGGCCCAUGAAUCCCAUGAAAAAGAACUUUGAACCCUGUCCACAAUUAGAGUUCAGGUAUACGCAGACAUGUUUAAAGACAAGGGACACCCAAAGGAAAGAUUGCACAGAGAGAAAGUGAGCAUCCGAGAGAAAAUCACCACAAGUGAGGCAGAGGGAGGCCGGUCUCAGCAGAGUUUUGGAGGUCGUGAGAAGAAGAGGUAGGAGAUAGGAGAGUGGUUCCGAGUACUUGCCUGCUGAUGUUACCUUCUCCACCCCCACCAGGUUUUCCAGUGCCUGGAGUCUUGGGCAGGAAUGGGCCACUGUAAGAAAGAGCUUUAUCACUAGGGCCUCAGCCAACUUUUCUGUGGGAUAUCCCUCCAAAAUAAUUAAGAGUUCAGAAUGCUUCAGAUUUUGAAGUGAAACUGGUACAUAUAUUAAGUGUUACUUAAUAACCCGAUAGUUUCUAGGGCAGCUCACCAUAAUCCCAAGUAUUAGCCACCACCCUCACCCCCUUCAGAGUAAAAUGUGUUUCCUGAAGGAAGUUGGGAAAAUGAAGAAAAAAAAUACAAAAAUCACCUAUAAUCUUACCAGUCAUAGAUGGCAGUUUUCCUGUCUUAUUUCUGAAUAAUGGUUGUUAAACAUUUGCCAGCACACCAUAAGGCUUAGGGAGGCAUCUGGGUCAUGCAUGUUAAUAUCCUUGGGUAAUUCCAGAAAUCUCUAUGAAGGGAAACUCCUGUUAUUUAUCUAGACUUCCUGAUUGCAAGGGGUUUGGGCAUCAUGAUUUAGGGGUCUUAAUAAAAUUAUUAUUUUAUUUUUACUAAUAGAUAAUGUCUGUGCCUAUCAGAUAAAGGCAAACCAGUGCUCAGAGGAACCCAACCAUCUCUGAAUUGAGACCAGAGAGCUGUCUCUAUGGAUAGUCCUUAGAGAAGGCAUUUCGGAACACAGUAAACAGCAGCCUGGUGACUCCGAUUACAGGGCCAGUUGCCUUUGUUACAAUAAAAGCAAGUCAUCUACACAGGAGUUUCACUCGUUGCCCAGGCUGGAGUGCAACGGCGCGAUCUCAGCUCACUGCAACCUCCGCCUCCCCAGUUCAAGCGAUUCUCCUGCCUCAGCCUCCUGAGUCACUGGAAUUACGGGCGCCUGACACCACGCCCAGCUAAUUUUUUGUAUUUUUAGUAGACAUGGGGUUUCACUAUGUUGGCCAGGCUGGUCUCGAACUCCUGACCUCAUGAUCCUCCUGCCUCAGCCUCCCAAAGCACUGGGAUUACAGGUGUGAGCCACUGUGCCUGGUCCAUUAAAAACAUUUGUAAAGCUAUGGUGUUGAUAAAGUAUUAUGAAAGACUGCAAAAAAAGAUGGCUAAUUUUUAGUUAUUAUUGCACAUGUUUAGAGGAGCUAAUGACAUUUUCUAUGAUUAAUAAAAGACAUUAUUUAUGUUUUUAUUUAUGUAUUCCACAACAUUUAUUUUAUUUUCUCCAUUUCAGGAAAACCACUAUGUUGUUACAAUAAAGAUUUUCAUGUAAUUUGUGUUCAAUUGAUAGUAAUAAUGUAACAAGUUAAAAAUGAAGGUAAUUGUGUUUAAAAUUUGAGCAUAUUUUCAUCAAAAUGUAAGUUAAAGUGAUUGUAAAUUUUAAGAUCAUAAUUACUUUGUAUAUCUUCAAGAAAAUUAUUGUUUUAAAAUAUUUAUGCCUAUUAAAAUUAGAAGGCAAAAUAAAAAUAUAUGAAUACCAACAUUUUAAAUAAAAAUCAUUUAAAUAA
rnacentral:lncRNA from 10 species